AGGAUAAGAAAAUUAUUAAUAUUCAUAUAAUAUACAGAGUGAAAAGAAGAUUUGUGAGAUCUAUUAUCCUUAAAGGCAAGACAGAACAGAGGGGUGAAUAGGUAAAUAAGACUGAUCCCAGGUUUCUCUAUCUCUUAAGUUAACUUCUGAUUUUAUAUAUCUUAUGUUUUUCCCUAUAGCAAAAAAAAAUCACAAAAGUUAGAGUUUUCUGUCCAAAAUGAACAAGAAUUUAUAGAAAGAGGUAAUAACUUGUUUCAUUUGAGUACACCCAGGAUCUCUGAAUACCAGUGCAUAGAACAGAGUCCAAGGUCACUAAAAGUGAAUUGUGGCAUGUCACGAAAUAUGUGAUUACUGUUUGUUGUCCUGAGAAGUGGAUAUAGAUAAAUAGAAACUCCUUGUUCAGUCCUUUAGAGUCAAGUGGUUGGUUUUAUUUUUAUAUAACGAUUAGCUACUCACAGGCAACUUUAUAAAGACAUUAGGUAUUGUUUUAUAUUUGAAAGGAAAACAAAAAUGAUAUUUAGCUGUUCGAUAUUGAAUGAUAUCUAUAGCUGUGCAUACUUUUACAACAUGGAAAAUUCCAAUUUAUUUACUUUCUUGAAGGAUUCGUUUUCUACAUAUAUUGGACUUCAGCAGUAUUAAAUAUUUGUAGCUGUGUUUGAUGGUGCUCACUGCCAGCAAUGGAGAGACUAAGAGAGGAGAUUUGGAAUUUGGAUAUAUCCUAAACAAGCUCCCAUAAUCACAUACCACACAAACACACACACACACACACACACAGUACUACCGGAGGAUCCCGCAAUACCUCUCCUGGGCAUAUAUCCAGAAGAUGUCCCAACCAGUAAGAAGGACACAUGCUCCACUAUGUUCAUAGCAGCCUUAUUUAUAAUAGCCAGAAGCUGGAAAGAACCCAGGUGCCCCUCAACAAAACUGACCACAACUAAG
rnacentral:lncRNA from 1 species